rnacentral:rRNA from 1 species
UGCAGUCGAGCGAUCCUUCGGGAUAGCUGGCAUCACGGGUGAGUAACGCGUGGGAAUCUACCUUUUGGUACGGAAUAGCUCCGGGAAACUGGAAUUAAUACCGUAUGUGGCCUUCGGGAGAAAGAUUUAUCGCCAAGAAAUGAGCCCGCGUUUGAUUAGGUACUUGGUGGGGUAAUGGCCUACCAAACCGACUAUCAAUAGCUGGUCUGAGAGGAUGAUCAGCCACAUUGGGACUGAGACGCGGCCCAAACUCCUACGGGAGGGAGCAAUGGGGAAUAUUGGACCAUGGGCGCAAGCCUGAUCCGGCCAUGCCGCGUGAGUGAUGAACGCCCUACGGUUGUAAAGCUCUUUCGCCGGUGAAGAUAAUGACUGUAGCCGGUAUUGAAGCCCCGGCUAACUUCUUGCCAUCAGCCGCGGUAAUACUAAGGGGGCUAGCGUUAUUCGGAAUUACUGAGCGUAAAGCGCACGUAGGCGGACAUUUAAGUCAGGGGUGAUAUCUCGGAGCUCAACUCCGGAACUGCCUUUGAUACUGGGUGUCUCGAGUAUGGAAGAAGUCACUGGAAUUGCCAGUGUACAGGUGAUAUUAGUAGAUAUUCACAGGAUCACCAGUGGCUAAGGCAUCUUACUGGUCCAUUACUGACGCU